rnacentral:rRNA from 1 species
GAUCAGCAUGCUACGGUGAAUACGUUCCCGGGUCUUGUACACACCGCCCGUCACACCACGAGAGUUUGUAACACCCGAAGCCGGUGGAGUAACCAUUUAUGGAGCUAGCCGUCGAAGGUGGGACAAAUGAUUGGGGUGAAGUCGUAACAAGGUAGCCGUAUCGGAAGGUGCGGCUGGAUCACCUCCUUUCUAAGGA